CCGAGUUUACAACUCCCAAACCCCUGUGAACAUACCUGUCGUUGCUUCGGCGGACCCGCCCCGGCGCCCUGUGCCCGGACCCGGCGGCCGCCGGAGGACAAAACCCGUCUUACCAGUGGCAUUAUCUGAGUGGCGCAAGCAAAUACAAUCA
rnacentral:misc_RNA from 1 species